rnacentral:rRNA from 1 species
UUAACAUGCAGUCGAACGGCAGCACGGGUGCUUGCACCUGGUGGCGAGUGGCGAACGGGUGAGUAAUACAUCGGAACAUGUCCUGUAGUGGGGGAUAGCCCGGCGAAAGCCGGAUUAAUACCGCAUACGAUCCACGGAUGAAAGCGGGGGACCUUCGGGCCUCGCGCUAUAGGGUUGGCCGAUGGCUGAUUAGCUAGUUGGUGGGGUAAAGGCCUACCAAGGCGACGAUCAGUAGCUGGUCUGAGAGGACGACCAGCCACACUGGGACUGAGACACGGCCCAGACUCCUACGGGAGGCAGCAGUGGGGAAUUUUGGACAAUGGGCGAAAGCCUGAUCCAGCAAUGCCGCGUGUGUGAAGAAGGCCUUCGGGUUGUAAAGCACUUUUGUCCGGAAAGAAAUCCUUGGCUCUAAUACAGUCGGGGGAUGACGGUACCGGAAGAAUAAGCACCGGCUAACUACGUGCCAGCAGCCGCGGUAAUACGUAGGGUGCGAGCGUUAAUCGGAAUUACUGGGCGUACAGCGUGCGCAGGCGGUUUGCUAAGACCGAUGUGAAAUCCCCGGGACUCAACCUGGGGAACUGCAUUGGUGACUGGCAGGCUAAGUAUGGCCAGA